GUGUCAGCAGCCGCGGUAAUACGUAGGAGGCAAGCGUUGUCCGGACUGACUGGGCGUAAAGCGCGCGCAGGCGGUGCGGGGCGUCGGUGCUGAAAUCGGGCCGCUUAACGGCCCGCGGCGUGCCGAUACGCCCGUACUGGAGGGUGGGCGAGGGUGGUGGAAUUGCCGGUGUAGUGGUGAAAUGCGUAGAGAUCGGCAGGAACACCCGUGGCGAAAGCGGCCACCUAGCCCGCACCUGACGCUGAUGCGCGACAGCGUGGGGAGCGAACUGGAUUAGAUACCCUGGUAGUCC
rnacentral:rRNA from 1 species